UCCCUGGUGGCUCAGAGGGUAAGGUAUCUGCUUGCAAUGCGGGAGACCCAGGUUCGAUCCCUGGGUUGGGAA
rnacentral:tRNA from 1 species